UACAGAGGGUGCAAGCGUUAAUCGGAAUUACUGGGCGUAAAGCGUGCGUAGACGGUUAUGUAAGUCAGAUGUGAAAGCCCCGGGCUUAACCUGGGAAUGGCAUUUGAGACUGCAUAGCUAGGGUGCGGAAGAGGGAAGCGGAAUUUCCGGUGUAGCGGUGAAAUGCGCAGAUAUCAGGAAGAACACCCGUGGCUAAGGCGGCUCUCUAGUACGGUACUGACGCUGAAGACGGCGAAAGCGUGGGGAGCGAACAGG
rnacentral:rRNA from 1 species